rnacentral:rRNA from 1 species
UAGGGAAUCUUCGGCAAUGGACGAAAGUCUGACCGAGCAACGCCGCGUGUGUGAAGAAGGUUUUCGGAUCGUAAAACUCUGUUUUUAGAGAAGAACAAGGACGUUAGUAACUGAACGUCCCCUGACGGUAUCUAACUCGAAAGCCACGGCUAACUACGUGCCAGCAGCCGCGGUAAUACGUAGGUGGCAAGCGUUGUCCGGAUUUAUUGGGCGUAAAGCGAGCGCAGGCGGUUUCUUAAGUCUGCUGUGAGAGCCCCCGGCUCAACCGGGGAGGGUCAUUGGAAACUGGGAGACGUGAGUGCAGAAGAGGAGAGUGGAAUUCCAUGUGUAGCGGUGAAAUGCGUAGAUAUAUGGAGGAACACCAGUGGCGAAGGCGGCUAUCUGGUGUGUAACUGACGCUGAGGCUCGAAAGCGUGGGGAGCAAACAGG